GAUGAACGCUGGCGGCGUGCCUAAUACAUGCAAGUCGAGCGAAUGGAUUAAGAGCUUGCUCUUAUGAAGUUAGCGGCGGACGGGUGAGUAACACGUGGGUAACCUGCCCAUAAGACUGGGAUAACUCCGGGAAACCGGGGCUAAUACCGGAUAACAUUUUGAACCGCAUGGUUCGAAAUUGAAAGGCGGCUUCGGCUGUCACUUAUGGAUGGACCCGCGUCGCAUUAGCUAGUUGGUGAGGUAACGGCUCACAAAGGCAACGAUGCGUAGCCGACCUGAGAGGCUGAGCGGCCACACUGGGACUGAGACACUGCCCAGACUCCUACGGGAGGCAGCAGUAGGGAAUCUUCCGCAAUGGACGAAAGUCUUACGGAGCAACGCCGCGUGAGUGGUGAAGGCUUUCGGGUCGUAAAACUCUGUUGUUAGGGAAGAACAAGUGCUAGUUGAAUAAGCUGGCACCUUGACGGUACCUAACCAGAAAGCCACGGCUAACUACGUGCCAGCCGCCGCUGUAA
rnacentral:rRNA from 1 species